rnacentral:snRNA from 1 species
AUGCUCACUUUGGCAGCACAAAUGUUAAAACUGAACAAUACAGAGAAGAUUAGCGUGGCUGCUGCACAAGAAUGACAGGCAAAUUCAUGAAGUGUCCCAUAUUUUA